rnacentral:misc_RNA from 1 species
GAUGAAGAACGUAGCGAAAUGCGAUAAGUAAUGUGAAUUGCAGAAUUCAGUGAAUCAUCGAAUCUUUGAACGCACAUUGCGCCCGCCAGUAUUCUGGCGGGCAUGCCUGUUCGAGCGUCAUUUCAACCCUCAAGCCCCAGCGGCCUGGUGUUGGGGACCGGCGACCUCGCCCGAGCCCGCCCUCCGGGGCGCGUGCCCGGUGCGUCCGCCGCCCCCGAAAUGAAUUGGCGGCCUCGUCGCGGCCUCCUCUGCGUAGUAGCACAACCUCGCAAGCGGGAGCGCGACGCGGCCACUGCCGUAAAACGCACAACUUUUUUAGAGUUGACCUCGGAUCAGGUAGGAAUACCCGCUGAACUUAAGCAUAUCAAUAAGCGGAGGA